CCGGCGAUGUCCGAAUGGGGAAACCCAGUGCAAUUCGUUGCACUAUCGUUAACUGAAUACAUAGGUUAACGAGGCGAACCGGGGGAACUGAAACAUCUAAGUACCCCGAGGAAAAGAAAUCAACCGAGAUUCCCCCAGUAGCGGCGAGCGAACGGGGAGCAGCCCAGAGUCUGAAUCAGCUUGUGUGUUAGUGGAACGGUCUGGAAAGUCCGACGGUACAGGGUGAUAGUCCCGUACACCAAAAUGCACAGGCUGUGAACUCGAAGAGUAGGGCGGGACACGUGGUAUCCUGUCUGAAUAUGGGGGGACCAUCCUCCAAGGCUAAAUACUCCUGACUGACCGAUAGUGAACCAGUACCGUGAGGGAAAGGCGAAAAGAACCCCGGCGAGGGGAGUGAAAAAGAACCUGAAACCGUGUACGUACAAGCAGUGGGAGCACCUUCGGGUGUGACUGCGUACCUUUUGUAUAAUGGGUCAGCGACUUAUAUUCUGUAGCAAGGUUAACCGUAUAGGGGAGCCGCAGGGAAACCGAGUCUUAACUGGGCGUUAAGUUGCAGGGUAUAGACCCGAAACCCGGUGAUCUAGCCAUGGGCAGGUUGAAGGUUGGGUAACACUAACUGGAGGACCGAACCGACUAAUGUUGAAAAAUUAGCGGAUGACUUGUGGCUGGGGGUGAAAGGCCAAUCAAACCGGGAGAUAGCUGGUUCUCCCCGAAAGCUAUUUAGGUAGCGCCUCGUGAACUCAUCUUCGGGGGUAGAGCACUGUUUCGGCUAGGGGGUCAUCCCGACUUACCAACCCGAUGCAAACUACGAAUACCGAAGAAUGUUAUCACGGGAGACACACGGCGGGUGCUAACGUCCGUCGUGAAGAGGGAAACAACCCAGACCGCCAGCUAAGGUCCCAAAGUCAUGGUUAAGUGGGAAACGAUGUGGGAAGGCACAGACAGCCAGGAUGUUGGCUUAGAAGCAGCCAUCAUUUAAAGAAAGCGUAAUAGCUCACUGGUCGAGUCGGCCUGCGCGGAAGAUGUAACGGGGCUAAACCAUGCACCGAAGCUGCGGCAGCGACACUAUGUGUUGUUGGGUAGGGGAGCGUUCUGUAAGCCUGCGAAGGUGACCUGUGAGGGUUGCUGGAGGUAUCAGAAGUGCGAAUGCUGACAUAAGUAACGAUAAAGCGGGUGAAAAGCCCGCUCGCCGGAAGACCAAGGGUUCCUGUCCAACGUUAAUCGGGGCAGGGUGAGUCGACCCCUAAGGCGAGGCCGAAAGGCGUAGUCGAUGGGAAACAGGUUAAUAUUCCUGUACUUGGUGUUACUGCGAAGGGGGGACGGAGAAGGCUAUGUUAGCCGGGCGACGGUUGUCCCGGUUUAAGCAUGUAGGCUGGUUAUCCAGGCAAAUCCGGAUAAUCAAGGCUGAGGUGUGAUGACGAGGCACUACGGUGCUGAAGUAACAAAUGCCCUGCUUCCAGGAAAAGCCUCUAAGCAUCAGGUAACAUUAAAUCGUACCCCAAACCGACACAGGUGGUCAGGUAGAGAAUACCAAGGCGCUUGAGAGAACUCGGGUGAAGGAACUAGGCAAAAUGGUGCCGUAACUUCGGGAGAAGGCACGCUGGUGUGUAGGUGAAGCCCCUGCGGGUGGAGCUGAGACCAGUCGAAGAUACCAGCUGGCUGCAACUGUUUAUUAAAAACACAGCACUGUGCAAACACGAAAGUGGACGUAUACGGUGUGACGCCUGCCCGGUGCCGGAAGGUUAAUUGAUGGGGUUAUCCGUAAGGAGAAGCUCUUGAUCGAAGCCCCGGUAAACGGCGGCCGUAACUAUAACGGUCCUAAGGUAGCGAAAUUCCUUGUCGGGUAAGUUCCGACCUGCACGAAUGGCGUAAUGAUGGCCAGGCUGUCUCCACCCGAGACUCAGUGAAAUUGAACUCGCUGUGAAGAUGCAGUGUACCCGCGGCAAGACGGAAAGACCCCGUGAACCUUUACUAUAGCUUGACACUGAACAUUGAGCCUUGAUGUGUAGGAUAGGUGGGAGGCUUUGAAGCGUGGACGCCAGUCUGCGUGGAGCCAACCUUGAAAUACCACCCUUUAAUGUUUGAUGUUCUAACGUUGGCCCCUUACCGGGGUUGCGGACAGUGUCUGGUGGGUAGUUUGACUGGGGCGGUCUCCUCCCAAAGCGUAACGGAGGAGCACGAAGGUUAGCUAAUCCUGGUCGGACAUCAGGAGGUUAGUGCAAUGGCAUAAGCUAGCUUGACUGCGAGCGUGACGGCGCGAGCAGGUGCGAAAGCAGGUCAUAGUGAUCCGGUGGUUCUGAAUGGAAGGGCCAUCGCUCAACGGAUAAAAGGUACUCCGGGGAUAACAGGCUGAUACCGCCCAAGAGUUCAUAUCGACGGCGGUGUUUGGCACCUCGAUGUCGGCUCAUCACAUCCUGGGGCUGAAGUAGGUCCCAAGGGUAUGGCUGUUCGCCAUUUAAAGUGGUACGCGAGCUGGGUUUAGAACGUCGUGAGACAGUUCGGUCCCUAUCUGCCGUGGGCGCUGGAGAAUUGAGGGGGGCUGCUCCUAGUACGAGAGGACCGGAGUGGACGCAUCACUGGUGUUCGGGUUGUCAUGCCAAUGGCACUGCCCGGUAGCUAAAUGCGGAAGAGAUAAGUGCUGAAAGCAUCUAAGCACGAAACUUGCCCCGAGAUGAGUUCUCCCUGAGACUUUAAGUCUCCUGAAGGAACGUU
rnacentral:rRNA from 1 species